rnacentral:rRNA from 1 species
GACGAACGCUGGCGGCGUGCUUAACACAUGCAAGUCGAACGGAAAGGCCCUGCUUUUGUGGGGUGCUCGAGUGGCGAACGGGUGAGUAACACGUGAGUAACCUGCCCUUGACUUUGGGAUAACUUCAGGAAACUGGGGCUAAUACCGGAUAGGAGCUCCUGCUGCAUGGUGGGGGUUGGAAAGUUUCGGCGGUUGGGGAUGGACUCGCGGCUUAUCAGCUUGUUGGUGGGGUAGUGGCUUACCAAGGCUUUGACGGGUAGCCGGCCUGAGAGGGUGACCGGCCACAUUGGGACUAAGAUACGGCCCAGACUCCUACGGGAGGCAGCAGUGGGGAAUAUUGCACAAUGGGCGGAAGCCUGAUGCAGCAACGCCGCGUGCGGGAUGACGGCCUUCGGGUUGUAAACCGCUUUCGCCUGUGACGAAGCGUGAGUGACGGUAAUGGGUAAAAAAGCACCGGCUAACUACGUG